UAGCCCUCAUGGGCCGCCACCCAAGGGCUCCAGUGUCAGUUGGGGCUCUGGCGUCCGUUGGGGCUCCAGCAGGGCAAGGCGCAGGCGCGAGCACGGAUGGCAGGUUCCCAACGGCCGGCUGGGCUCCCAUGGCGGCGUCCAGACUCAGUCCCAUAGGCCUCAAGGACGCGGACCAUCAGCACCAGACCCAGAAGUGAGGGGUGUGUUGUCCAGUGCUACGUCGAGGUGUCGUCCAUCCAUGUCCUUUGCAGCCUGUGCGGCCCCUGGGCUCCAGGGCACCUGUGCGGUGCUUGAGAAGCAGGGUCCCAGUCAGCAGGUCCUCGACUUGGCUCCUGUCAAUGUCAAACGAAGUGGUGAUGAUCAUCUUCUUGUUCCCUGUGAAAUCUGUGAAUGUUGGGGACACUGUCAGCUGGCAUCCGAGUCGUUAGCUGAAAGGACGCUCUUUUCCUGUGAUCUUAGCGACUUUGCACAACGGAAAAUACUGAGCCGAGUUUGCUGAGUGGCAUGUGGUCACACCGUGACUGACGUGCUGUCAUAGGUUGCUGUUGGUGCGAGCCUCUGGACAGAGCACCUGAAUGAUGAUGGGAGAACUGUGUGACCACAAGUACUGUGCAAUAAAUAGAGUCAUGUUUUAUUAUUGUUAAA